rnacentral:rRNA from 1 species
CAGAGAGAAGCAAUACCGCGAGGUGGAGCAAAACUUCAAAAAUGGUCUCAGUUCGGACUGUAGGCUGCAACUCGCCUACACGAAGUUGGAAUUGCUAGUAAUCGUGGAUCAGCAUGCCACGGUGAAUACGUUCCCGGGUCUUGUACACACCGCCCGUCACACCAUGGGAGCUGGUAACACCCGAAGUCAGUAGUCUAACCGCAAGGAGGACGCUGCCGAAGGUGGGAUUAGCGACUGGGGUGAAGUCGUAACAAGGUAAC